rnacentral:rRNA from 1 species
CCUACGGGAGGCUGCAGUGGUGAAUAUUGGGCAAUGGGCGCAAGCCUGACCCAGCAACGCCGCGUGAAGGCAGCAGGCUUUCGGGUUGUAAACUUCUUUUAAGAGGGAAGAGCAGAAGACGGUACCUCUUGAAUAAGCCUCGGCUAACUACGUUCCAGCAGCCGCGGUAAUACGUAGGAGGCAAGCGUUAUCCGGAAUGACUGGGCGUAAAGGGUGCGUAGGUGGUUUGACAAGUUAGUAGCGCAACUCCGGAGCUAAACUUCGGAACUACUACUAAAACUGUUGGACGUGAGUGCAGGAGGGGGAAUCGGAAUUCCUAGUGUAGCGGUGGAAUGCGUAGAUAUUAGGAGGAACACCAGUGGCGAAGGCGGAUUGCUAGACUGUAACUGACACUGAGGCACGAAAGCGUGGGGAGCAAACAGGAUUAGAUACCCGAGUAGUC